rnacentral:tRNA from 1 species
GCUUUUUUAAUAUAACAAGUAUAGUUGGCUUCCAACCAACCAGUCUAAAAUCUUUAGAAAAAGCA